GUCGCAAGACCAAAGUGGGGGACCUUCGGGCCUCAUGCCAUCAGAUGUGCCCAGAUGGGAUUAGCUAGUAGGUGGGGUAACGGCUCACCUAGGCGACGAUCCCUAGCUGGUCUGAGAGGAUGACCAGCCACACUGGAACUGAGACACGGUCCAGACUCCUACGGGAGGCAGCAGUGGGGAAUAUUGCACAAUGGGCGCAAGCCUGAUG
rnacentral:rRNA from 1 species